GCUAGAGAGCGCUCAGUUGGUAGAGCCUGAGACUCUUAAUCUCAGGGUCGUGGGUUUGAGCCUGUUGCUGGGCA